rnacentral:tRNA from 1 species
CAGGAUGUAGCUCAGUGGUAGAGCACUCACCCAGCAUCUAAAAGGCCCUGGGUUCAAUCCCCAGCACUGA